AUGCUGAAAAAUGUUCCUUUCUGUUUCUUGAUCCUUCUUAGAGACAUGGAACAGGAACAAGUUUUGUGGAAAAAAUUCUAUGUCUGGUUGGCGGGAAGAACAAAUGGAGCUCAUUCUGAAACUGUUCAAAAACUCAAAGACAUCGGCCACACUGAGGUGGACAGACCUGAAGAUUGUGACUACCUUCUAGGGUUUUGUCCUGUUGUUUCACGAGUUGGAACAGACAUCACAGAUGCUCUCAACAUCAAACCUUCGGGUAAACCAGUGAUUCUGGUAGUGAUGCAUCACACUUUUGAUCCUCGUCAUGUUGUAGCCAAAAGCAGCAGACAGGUCAACGACCCAGAUGUCUGCCUCACUGUGGAUUGUCUCUUUUAUGAGCGCAAACUCCUUAAAUGCAGUCUCAAUGAGAUCAUGUGGGCUGACAUCAAGACUCAUUUUGGAGUUACUCAGGAUCCUGACUUGCUGACCCAGAUAGUCAUUUGUAAGUGUGACUGCAACCAUGAAUUUCCAGUUACAACUUUUUUUUUUGUUUUACAUUGAGAUUAAAAUGACGAUAUAUGUAGUUCUCCCACAUGUGAAAUUUCUGGGAAAUUAGCUGAAAAGUACCUCAAAAGUUACACAGAACAGAUGCAAACUGAGGGUUUAGACACACAGGAGGACAUUAGGGCAGAAUGGACACACCUUUGGAACACAUCUGAACAGACCAGACAUGACUGUGGAAACGAAAGGGAUCAUAAAAUAUGAUAGAUAUUGCAUUACAUAGGCACACAGAUUAAAGUAGAUCAUAACCUAGGAGCAUGGAGUAGAAUAUUAACAGAAACAAAAGAACAGAGAAUACAAUAGAUUACCAAGGAAAACAGCAACCAGCUAAAGUUACAAAGAAGCCAGACCUAAAAACCAGAGGUUCUCAAAACACAAGGAACUGUAACCUCAUAAAUUCAAAACACUGGCCAAAGACCCACAUCUGAACUUGAUUCCCAUCCCAUUCUUAAUCCAUAGGAUUUAAUAUGAUAUUAAUGCAACCUUUGCAAAUAUAAUUGCUUCAUAGCUUCAAUAGCUUUAACUCAAAAUUGUAAAAGGUUUAGAAGUGUGUUUAUGGGAUUUUUUUGACCAUUAAUCCAGAAGCACAUUUGUGAAGUCAGACACUGAUGUUGACAGCAAUCUCUGACUUUACGUGGCCUUUCACUUUGCUGCUAAGUUGCUGUCGUUCCCAAUCGCUUCCACUUUGUUAAUUCAUUAAUAAUGAGAAAAUUUCACGACUGGAUAUGUUGUACCAGUGGCAUCCUAUCUUGGUACCACACUGAAAUUUACUGAGCUCCUGAGAGCGACCUGGUCUUUUGGUCUUUCACAAAUGUUUGUAGAGGCAGUCUGCAUCCCUGGGUGCUUGACUCGAUAAAUCUGUGGCCAAGAACGUGAUUGAUUUAGAUGGGCCCAUGAAAAUAGAAACGUUGAUAUUAUCAUUAUCAUUAUUAUUAUUAUUAUUAUUAUUAUUUUAAUUGCAGUUUCUGCCUUUUUUAUUGUCUUUUAUAUUUUAUAUUGUAUUUUAUAUAUAAUAUUAAAGAAUACUAUCUUUAAUCAUCUUUGUUUUUCUUCAUUUUAGGGAUAAAGAAUCAUCCACUGAUUGUAGCACUCAUAUUUGUGUUCAUAAUAGUCAUCAUUCUACUAGUGACACUUUCAUAAGCAAACAAGGUCGACGAUGCUCAUGCUGGAGGCACUAACAAUUCAUUGGAGAGACUGGGCACUAACGAGUCAUUGGAGGGACCGAUUAACAUGUUUUGAUCUCUGGCUCCAAAUCGAUAUAUGCUUGGGUAAGAUAGUGAGUCCUGAGUUGACCUUGAUACAUGUUUGUGAGUCAUAGAAAAAAAAAAUGCUAUUAAAUAAAUGUGUUCUACUAUUGCUGCAGCUUGAUUGCAGUUUUGGAGGCUGAUGUAGAUAAUUUUGUCAUGGAUCUCUUUAUUCUUCUUCUUAAUUGAAUUAUUAAUCAUUUCCACCACACAUUGCUAUAAGAAUUUUGAAAAAUGUUCAUAUUAAGAUAUGAGUUUGCAAGCAGCUUAAUGCUGUUCAAGUUUAUGAGGUUAUAAAUACAAAUAAAACAAUUGUGUGAAAUAAUUCUGCUGAAUGUAUUAUCAUAAUUAUGUUCAUGAAGAAUAAAUACAAAUCUGUCCUGUCUUUGUUGCUUCUCUGUAUAACUUUGUCUUAUUCAUCUUAUCUUAUUGACCUUUUACUUAUUACUAAAAACAUGAUUUACUAAUAAAUAAUGAUAUAUACAGUGAUGUGAAAAAGUUUUUUGCCUCGUUCCUGAUUUCCCAUUUUUUGUCACACUUAAAUGAGAUCAUCAAACAAGUUUAAACAAAGGUAACACAAGUAAGAAAACAAUCUAAAUGUAGGUGUUUAUUAUUAAAGGGGAAAAAAUGUAAUCCUACAUGACCUUGUGCGUGAGCCUAAGUGAGCCUAAGCCUAAUAACUGGUUGGGCCACCCUUAGCAGCAACAGUCUUUUAGAGCACUGCAAUCAAGCAUUUGAGAGUCUUUUAGAGCACCGUGUGGGAACUUUGUCUGACUCAUCUUUGCAGAAUUGAUGUAAUUCAGCCACACUGGAGGGUUUUCAAGGAUGAAGCACUGAUUUACUAAUCAGUGUUGAUGUUAUUAAAAU
ensembl:lncRNA